GGCAGGAACCCGUGUCCCCUGCCUCGGCAGGUGGACUCUCAACCACUGCGCCACCAGGGAGGCCCCAAAUGUGUGGUUUUUAAAGCAUAUUUACAAAUUCACGGACACUCCUCCCUUUAGGAAGUAGGAUAUACAUCCCUUCCCCUCAAGCCUCAUCUGUAACCAGUGGAAUAUGGGCAGAUGUGAUGCUGUGUGACUUCUGAGGCUGGGUCCUAAAAAGUCAUGAAUCUUCUACCUUGUUUACUGGAACACCUGCACCUGGAGCCUUGAGGUACCUUGUAAGAAGUUGGACUCCCCUGAGGCUGCCAUGCUGUGAGGAAGCCAAGUCACACAGAGAGGGGCCACAUGUAGGUACUUUGGUUGGCAGUCGUGGUCUUCCAAUUAAUCCAUCUCAGGUCCCAACAGAUCAUUUCCACAUCAUUGGCACAUAUGAAACACUCAAUAAAUAUCUUCUGCUACAAUUAGGAAUUCAAUUUCCUUGAAAGUCCUGGUGAUAUGAUGAUACUCCAGAGUGGAGAGGAAGGAGGGAAUUGCUGGAGUAAUCCUGAAAGUUGGGAGUUUUUCUGGGGUGGAAACCAAACGAAUCCAUCCCAACAUUACGUGGCACUAGAGCCAGUGAUAACACUACGUGGUACUUCCGAACAGCACGCGCACAUUGCCUUUAUGAAGAACUCAUGUUUCUUUGUCCACUUAUGAUCCAUUCCUAUGAUGGCUGUACCCCAGGGUGAACAUCUAUCACCUAUUGCCUUUCUACUGUCCCAGUGAUGAUACUGCAGUUUCCUGCCUCUACAAAUAAUGCUGCAAUGAACAUCCUCCCUCCGGACCUAUGGGAGAAUCUCUUUGGGGUAUAAACAAUGAUUUUCCUUUAUGUACUAAAUGUGUGCCUCCUAUGAAACAGGAGCUGGU